rnacentral:rRNA from 1 species
CAGCAGCCACGGUAAUACGUAGGUGGCAAGCGUUGUCCGGAAUUAUUGGGCGUAAAGCGCGCGCAGGCGGACAGGUCAGUCUGUCUUAAAAGUUCGGGGCUUAACCCCGUGAUGGGAUGGAAACUGCCAAUCUAGAGUAUCGGAGAGGAAAGUGGAAUUCCUAGUGUAGCGGUGAAAUGCGUAGAUAUUAGGAAGAACACCAGUGGCGAAGGCGACUUUCUGGACGAAAACUGACGCUGAGGCGCGAAAGCCAGGGGAGCGAACGGGAUUAGAUACCCCUGUAGUCCCUGUCUCUUAUACA